rnacentral:SRP_RNA from 2 species
GCCAGGCGUGGUGGUGCGUGCCUAUAUUCCCAGCUACUUGGGAGGCUGAGGCAGGAGAAUUGCUCGAACCCGGGAAGUGGAGGUUGCAGUGAGCUGAGAUCAUGCCACUGCGCUCCAGCCUGGGUGACAGAGCAAGAACCCGUCUCAU